rnacentral:rRNA from 1 species
UAGGGAAUCUUCGGCAAUGGACGAAAGUCUGACCGAGCAACGCCGCGUGAGUGAAGAAGGUUUUCGGAUCGUAAAACUCUGUUGUUAGAGAAGAACAAGGACGUUAGUAACUGAACGUUCUCUGACGGUAUCUAACCAGAAAGCCACGGCUAACUACGUGCCAGCAGCCGCGGUAAUACGUAGGUGGCAAGCGUUGUACGGAUUUAUUGGGCGUAAAGCGAGCGCAGGCGGUUUCUUAAGUCUGAUGUGAAAGACCCCGGCUCAACCGGGGAGGGUCAUUGGAAACUGGGAGACUUGAGUGCAGAAGAGGAGAGUGGAAUUCCAUGUGUAGCGGUGAAAUGCGUAGAUAUAUGGAGGAACACCAGUGGCGAAGGCGGCUCUCUGGUCUGUAACUGACGCUGAGGCUCGAAAGCGUGGGGAGCAAACAGG